UACGUAGGGUGCGAGCGUUAAUCGGAAUUACUGGGCGUAAAGCGUGCGCAGGCGGUUUUGUAAGCCAGAUGUGAAAUCCCCGGGCUUAACCUGGGAAUGGCAUUUGGGACUGCAAGGCUGGAGUGUGGCAGAGGAGACUGGAAUUCCCGGUGUAGCAGUGAAAUGCGUAGAUAUCGGGAGGAACACCGGUGGCGAAGGCGGCGACCUGGGUUGACAUUGACGCUGAGGCGCGAAAGCGUGGGGAGCAAACAGG
rnacentral:rRNA from 1 species